UCCGCUGUUUAUUCAAAAACAUUUCUGAAUGAACUAGUAUUCAGUAGGGCCUGCUCAAUGAUUUAUUAAAUAGCCGCAAUUUUAUUGUGCUAAGGUAGCGUAAUCAUUUGCCUUUCAAUUGAAGGCUAGAAUGAAAGGUUUGACAUAUAAAUUUCUUUAUUAUCUGGAAUAUUCUAACUUUUCUUUCAAGUAAAAAGACUUGUAUAGUAAAGAAGGACGACAAGACCCUAUCGAACUUCACUCCUGUUGAACUGGGGCGGUAAAAAACUAAAUCUUUUAUUCAUUUUUCUCUCCAUCCUCGAUUUGAGAUUCAACUAAGUUACCGUAGGGAUAACAGCACAAUUUUUUCUUAAAGUUCUUAUAAAAGAAAAAGAUUAUGACCUCGAUGUUGAAUUAUUUAUCUUCUUGGAGCAAGAUCUAAAAAAGAAAGUCAGGCGACAUUCAAACC
rnacentral:rRNA from 1 species